rnacentral:rRNA from 1 species
AUUGAACGCUGGCGGCAUGCCUUACACAUGCAAGUCGAACGGCAGCAUGGAGAGCUUGCUCUCUGAUGGCGAGUGGCGAACGGGUGAGUAAUGCAUCGGAACGUACCGUGUAAUGGGGGAUAACGUAGCGAAAGUUACGCUAAUACCGCAUACGACCUGAGGGUGAAAGCAGGGGAUCGCAAGACCUUGCGUUAUACGAGCGGCCGAUGUCAGAUUAGCUAGUUGGUGAGGUAAAGGCUCACCAAGGCGACGAUCUGUAGCGGGUCUGAGAGGAUGAUCCGCCACCCUGGGACUGAGACGCGGCCCAGACUCCUACGGGAGGCAGCAGUGGGGAAUUUUGGACAAUGGGGGCAACCCUGAUCCAGCCAUGCCGCGUGAGUGAAGAAGGCCUUCGGGUUGUAAAGCUCUUUCGGCCGGGAAGAAAUCGCACAGGCUAAUACUCUGUGUGGAUGACGGUACCGGCAUAAGAAGCACCGGCUAACUACGUGCCAGCCGCCGCAGUAA